UGGGGAAUUUUGGACAAUGGGCGAAAGCCUGAUCCAGCCAUGCCGCGUGAGUGAGGAAGGCCUUCGGGUUGUAAAGCUCUUUUAGUCGGAAAGAAAAGAUCGUAAAUAAUACUUGCGAUUAAUGACGGUACCGACAGAAAAAGCACCGGCUAACUACGUGCCAGCAGCCGCGGUAAUACGUAGGGUGCUAGCGUUAAUCGGAAUUACUGGGCGUAAAGGGUGCGCAGGCGGUUUUGUAAGUCAGAUGUGAAAUCCCCGGGCUUAACCUGGGAAUUGCGUUUGAAACUAUAAGACUAGAGUGCAAGAGAGGGGAGUGGAAUUCCAUGUGUAGCAGUGAAAUGCGUAGAGAUGUGGAAGAACACCGAUGGCGAAGGCAGCUCCCUGGAUUGACACUGACGCUCAUGCACGAAAGCGUGGGGAGCAAACA
rnacentral:rRNA from 1 species